rnacentral:lncRNA from 1 species
AACUCGAGCCAUUAGUUUCUCGAAGUUUGACCGAAAGAGAUAUCCUUGUUGAGGGAUAGGACAUCCAUUGAUGUUUAGGAGAAAUGAUGCUGGACUACUGCCAGAUUUAGCUUCUUUUGAUUCUCUGAGAGUUAUGGGUGCUGUUCCUGUUGCUGCAACUAACCUAUUCAAGCUUUUGUCUUCCAAGUCUCUUAUCUUAUUAUAUCCUGGAGGGAUGCGCGAGGCUCUUCACAGGAAGGUAAAUUCCAAUAUGUAGUUUUCUUUUUUUGGCAACAAGUUAUUGCCAUCUUUCAUAUUGAAACAAUUGCUCGUUUUACUCCCUCUGUUCUGGCUUCUAUACCAUCUUGGACAUGAAAGAGCAUAUGAAAAUGUGAAUUGAAUGAGUUGUCACUAACUCAGUAUACUGAGAAACAUUUAUUUGAGUUUAUUUAAUAGUGUAAGAAUUGAAGUGUUUGAAUGUAUUGUAUUAUAAAAUGUACAGGGAAUCAGCCUCUUUAUAGAGAAAUUACAGAAAUAGAAAUAACUAGAAAAUAGGAAAGAAGGAAAAAAUACUAGCCUAAAAUAAAGGAAAGAUUUCUAAUCAUAAAAUCCCUAAAAUUAAGCUAAACCCAAAAAGGAAAAGAUUUAUAAUUAAUUCUAUUUACAUAAGAUUCAUAAAAGGAAUUAGGAAUCUGAUUUUGAUUUGAUUUAGUCAACAGUAAGGGUUUUACAUUGUUAUAUAUGUUGGGUAUCACAUGCUGCUCGGAAUUGAACUCGAGCCAUUAGUUUCUCGAAGUUUGACCGAAAGAGAUAUCCUUGUUGAGGGAUAGGACAUCCAUUGAUGUUUAGGAGAAAUGAUGCUGGACUACUGCCAGAUUUAGCUUCUUUUGAUUCCUUCAGAGUUAUGGGCUUCACAUAUUCCAUGAGCCACUGCUCUAAACUCAGCUUCUGCACUACUUCGUGCCACAACACUCUGUUUUUUACUCCUCCAACUAACCAAGUUUCCGCCAACAAAAGUACAAUACUCAGAUGUUGACCUUCUAUCCAUGAUAUUCCCAGCCCAAUCUGCAUCUGUAUAAGCUUCUACUUGAAGAUGUUCAUGCUUUUUAUAGAGUAAUCCUUUCCCAGGCGACCCUUUCAAGUACCUUAGGAUUCUAAAGACAACAUCCAUGUGUUCUUGACCAGGUGAAUGCAUAAACUGGCUUACCAUGCUCACAGCAAAGGCUAUAUCCGGACGUGUAUGGGAUAAAUAGAUUAGCCUCCCUACCAACCGCUGAUAUCUCCCUUUGUCCAUUACAUUUUCUGGUUCAGCUGGCUUCAAUUUUAAGUAAGACUCUAUAGGUGUUUCAGCAGCUUUACAAGCAAGUAAUCUCGUCUCUUUUAAAUGAUCUAGGAUGUACUUUUGUUAGCAUUCUUUAUAUCCAAUUGGUGUAAAGGCCAAUUGUAAUUCGCAGCAAGAGAUAAGAGAAUCCGCACAGAACUGAGUUUGGCAAUUGGAGCAAAAGUCUCUCGAUAGUCUACUCCAUAGGUUUGUGUAUAUCCCCUAGCUACUAACCUAGCCUUAUACCUCUCUAUGCUUCCAUCAGCAUUGCAUUUGAUGGUAAAAACCCACCUGCAGCCAACCAAUUUUGUAUUCUGUGGCAGAUCUACAAUCUCCCAAAUUUCAUUUUUCUUGAGUGCAUGCCACUCUUCCAUCACUGCUAAUUUCCAGUUGGGAUCAUCUAGUGCUUCCUCUAUGUUCCUAGGCUCAAAUAGAUUUGUAAUUUUAGAAGUAAAAGCUCGAUGUUUUUGAGAGAGAUUUUGGUAAGAGACAUAAUUGGAAAUAGGAUGGUUGGUGCUGGUUUUAAGUACCUUUUUGGUGCAGGUUCUGGUUUCUUUCUUAAGGGCUAUUGGCAAAUUAUUAUUAGAAGUGACAAUUUCAGAUUUACCUGGAAGUUCCUGAAGUACUACAGUUGAGCCGUCUUCCUCAGAUUGGGUUGGUACAGAGAUGAUGGGCUCCUCCGAAAUAUCCUCAAAGUGAUUAAGCCCAUCCAUCAUCUUAGCACUGCCAAUCAUCUUCCCCGAAGUCCGGUCCUGAAAAAUACCAUGAGUGUCAAAGAAUGUCACAGCACAAUUGGAAUCCUUGCAGAUUUUACUAAUAGAGAAAAGAUUACAAGAAAGCUUUGGUACAUGUAGGACAUUUCUUAGGUCAAUGUUUUCGGACAGUUUAAUUGUACCUUUUCCAGCAAUAGAUGAAAAACUACCAUCAGCAACUCUAAUUUUUUCAUUUUCAAAGCAAGGAGAAUAAGUUUUAAAUAAAGGGGAGAGGCUGGUCAUAUGGUCAGAUGCACCUGAAUCGACAAUCCAUGGUGCAUUCAAGUUUGAGGUGCAGUUAAGGGACAUAGGAAUACUAAAAUUACCUGUUUGAGCCAAAGAACCACUAGGAGUACUAGACACAGAACUGGAAUUUAACAGCCUUAUGAGCUGCUCAACCUGUUCCUUACUCAAUGAUGAUUUUUCAGCCUCAUGAGCAGUUGGGGUAGAGCGUAUUUUGAGACCAGGUUUGCUGCCAUUAAGGUGUGCUGGUUUUCCAUGAAUCUUCCAGCAGGUUUCUCGGGUGUGACGAGGUUUAUUGCAGUGGUCACACCAAAGAUUGGAGGGGUGCUUCUAAUUUGAUGAACUUUUAAGUGCAGCAGGUGCCACUAAAAGUGCAUUAGACUCCAAAGAGGUCUGUUCAGUCUUGCCUUUUCCCAUCAUCAUAGCUCUACGAGUUUCCUCUCUUCUAACUUCAGCAAAUACUUCUCCAAUUGAGGGUAGGAUUGCUCUUCCAAUAAUUCUGCCACGAACUUCAUCUAGCUCCACGUUGAGGCUUGCAAGAAACUGGAAUAUCCUCCCUUCUUCCACUGUUUGUUGGUGGUGUUUGGCAUCAGCGGCUGAAUUCCACUUGUAGUUAUUAAAGUGGUCAAGAUCCUGCCACACCCGCUUCAAUGUGUGGAAAUAUUUGGUGACAUUGUCACCCCCUUGUUGAAUUUCUCUAGCUUUUAGAGUAAGUUCAUAAAUCUGGGAUUUAUUCCCAAGAUCAGAGUACAUCUCCUUGACACUAUCCCACAAUUCUUUGGCUGUGGUAUAGUACAUGUAGUUACUGCUGAUAUCCUCCUCCAUUGAGUUCACCAGCCAUGUCAUCACCAUGGAAUUUUCGGUAUCCCACACAUGAUAUUGUGAGUCAGUGAUGUUAGGCUGGCUUCGCUCACCGGUGAGAUAUCCAAUCUUCCCUCUUCCACGGAUAUACAUCUGAACUGAUUGAGACCACCUAAGGUAGUUUGACCCAUUGAGUCGAAAUGUGGUGAUCUGAACUGAAUGGGAGUCACCACUAACUAGUAUCCGUUGCUCAGAUUUUAAAUCUGAUGGAGUAGGAGUGGUGUUCUCCUUCUGUUCAGGAUUAAUGACUGAGGAACUGUCAGCCAUAGCUAUAAAUCAGAGGCACAGUGCAGAGAUCCUGCUCUGAUACCAAAUUGAAGUGUUUGAAUGUAUUGUAUUAUAAAAUGUACAGGGAAUCAGCCUCUUUAUAGAGGAAUUACAGAAAUAGAAAUAACUAGAAAAUAGGAAAGAAGGAAAAAAUACUAGCCUAAAAUAAAGGAAAGAUUUCUAAUCAUAAAAUCCCUAAAAUUAAGCUAAACCCAAAAAGGAAAAGAUUUAUAAUUAAUUCUAUUUACAUAAGAUUCAUAAAAGGAAUUAGGAAUCUGAUUUUGAUUUGAUUUAGUCAACAGUAAGGGUUUUACAUUGUUAUAUAUGUUGGGUAUCACAUGCUGCUCGGAAUUGAACUCGGUCCAUUAGUUUCUCGAAUUUUGACCGAAAGAGAUAUCCUUGUUCGAGGGAUAGCUCAUCCAUUGAUGUUUAGGAGAAAUGAUGCUGGACUACUGCCAGAUUUAGCUUCUUUUGAUUCCUUCAGAGUUAUGGGUGCUGUUCCUGUUGCUGCAACUAACCUAUUCAAGCUUUUGUCUUCCAAGUCUCAUAUCUUAUUAUAUCCUGGAG